rnacentral:rRNA from 1 species
CCUACGGGAGGCAGCAGUGAGGAAUAUUGGUCAAUGGACGAGAGUCUGAACCAGCCAAGUAGCGUGAAGGAUGACUGCCCUAUGGGUUGUAAACUUCUUUUAUAUGGGAAUAAAAUGUUCCACGUGUGGGAUUUUGUAUGUACCAUAUGAAUAAGGAUCGGCUAACUCCGUGCCAGCAGCCGCGGUAAUCCGGAGGAUCCGAGCGUUAUCCGGAUUUAUUGGGUUUAACGGGAGCGUAGGUGGAUUGUUAAGUCAGUUGUGAAAGUUUGCGGCUCAACCGUAAAAUUGCAGUUGAAACUGGCAGGCUUGAGUACAGUAGAGGCGGGCGGAAUUCGUGGUGUAGCGGUGAAAUGCUUAGAUAUCACGAAGAACUCCGAUUGCGAAGGCAGCUCACUGGACUGCAACUGACACUGAGGCUCGAAAGUGUGGGUAUCAAACAGGAUUAGAUACCCGAGUAGUC